rnacentral:lncRNA from 1 species
AUAGCUGCUCCAGUCACUUCCGAGGCUAGGGUGGAUGUUAUGGGAGCAGCCACUAAAGCUCCUGACCUGCAUGUGUAGAGCAGUGCCAGCUGCACAGAAUGAGCUCCAGGGGCAUGUGUUAAUGUGGACACCAGCAUGAUUCAGCCUCAGGAAUUUCUCCAGCCCAUGUGGCCUUAGCCCAGGACCGGUACCAGAAGGGCUGCAGAGUAGGCCAAGAGCAUCCUGAGACGCACGGGGUACCUUGGCAAACAACAGUGGUAGGUUGGGAUGUCCCCAGGCUGGGACAGGCUCCCUCUAAGAUGGCAGUCGUGAUGGAAAUGGGACCACCAGAGGAAGGUGGGCAAUGAGGGGGAAUGAGACCCACUGCAGCUGACUGGGGCAGUGACUGCACCUCUAACUGCCACCAUCUCAAGUCCGUUCUUCCUUCAGCCAAGGGGCCUCUGUCCUGGCAGGGCUAACUACUGCCAAAGUCCUGACCCUGGGAUCAGACUGCCUCCCUGGAGACAGGUCUCACUUGUCUGGCUGUGCUGCAAAGCCUCCCCCAGCUGGCAGAGGGCACCCUCCAGUCCUCAGCAGUUCCUUCCCACUGCACCUUGGCCAGUGGGUGGCUUACUACUCUGCAGUGGCUUCCCUCUCCUCCCCAGGUUUAACUUCCCCACGCUUUAGUUAGAAGAGACGCUUUAGUUAGAAGAGAACUUUAAAAGUGGAUCAAUCCUCGCAGUCGGGUCUUUUUUUUUUUUUUUUAAGUUUAUUGAAAAAUGCCAUACAAGAAGCAAGACCAAACACUUACCUAAACACUACAGCCACAUCUGUCACUACAAAGGCGCAGACAGCAGGCCCAGUUACUGCCUAUCUCACCUAAGGGAGGGGUUUUUCGGCUGGACUCCGCCGGCAUAGUUCCUAUUUUGUCAAAUGUAAACAACUACUUGAUAUGAUUCAUAAUUUUAAAAAAAUUUACAAAGCUCCUUCAUUUUUGUCAUGAAAAUAAUAUAUCUGAGAGAUUUGUAAAAACAACCAGCCUAGGGCUGGUAUUUCCCAUGAGCAUCAGGGUGCUGGCCAGGCUGUAGCCCCAGCUCCAUUCCUCAAAGUGGGCCAGGGCUCCCAGACCCCGAAUACACUGCUGGCCUUGGGGAGGGCCCCCGGAGUCAGCCUCCUUGAGCCCUCAGUUUAGGAAUAUAGGGCUUGCUUUGUGGGUGGGUGGCAGAGAUCUCAUGUGGUUUGAAGGAAAUCUACUUCUGAAGUAAAAAUAAAACUGCAGUUGGGAUUGUUACUGUGGUGUGCCUGAGUCACUUUGGGAAAAGUCCUGCCAAGUCUCUGACCCUGGAGAUGGGACUCCCCUCCCCCCUCACUCCUUCUACCUGGACAGAGCCUGUUCUUCACACAACUG